rnacentral:lncRNA from 1 species
CUACAUUCUGGAUUCUCUUCUCCCUCUAGAAUUCUGUGUUCUAUGCUCUGAUUCUCUUUAUUUUAGGUCACUUUAAGCUCUGACAUUCUGUGGUCCAUGUUCUCCCAUUUGAUGUCCUGCAAUUUCUUCCAAUUUUAAUAUUCACUGUUUCUACUCUAUGAGGCAGCUAGGUGAUGAAAUGAAGAGAGUUUCUCAUCUGGAAUCAGAAAGGAUUCAAAACCAAAGUGAACCAGCUCCUGCCUACACAGAGUUUACAUUUAAAUGUAAUAGAUAAUAUUUACACAUUUUGAUACACAUAAAAUUCAUUCAAAGCCGAUUCAAAGCAACUUUGGCAACAUUAGCAGUUGGGAGGAGGAUCAAGCAAAGAAAGUUGCUCUUAAGACUAAUAUUGAAGAAAACCUGGGAUUCCAAGAGGGCCUUGGAUAGUGCCUGUAUAUACUUGAUGAUUGAUGAAUUGAUUUGCAUCUCCAAGCCAUCAGGACUACAGUUAAAAGUGAAUGGAUUCCAUACAUUCAUGCUACUGAAUCAUACAAGGGAAAAGUAGACUUUAUUCUUAGCAGAUUUUCAUUAGUUUCUUUUCUCUAAACCACCAAGAGUUACCCCUUUGUAUCCCACCUCUUUCUGCUUCCUCAGGAGUCACCUCAUGUAAAAAAGAUUAAAAAAGAAAAGAGAGAGAAGAUGAACAGGAAAAAAUAGUAAAACCAAUCAAUACAUCAAAAAUAUAAUGUUCUGCACAAUAUUCCACCCCUAUGCAACCUAACUUGCACAAAAGAAUGAUGGAAGUGGGUGAGUGAGGAGAGUAUAUUCACUCAUCUUGCCUUUCAGACCAAGAUUGUUCUUUGGAAUUUUACAACAUUGUUUUGAUUGUUUGAUAGAUACUAUUAUUCCCAUCUCCAUUGUGGCUGUCAUUAUCUAUGAUGUUUUCCUGACUCAGUAUCAGUUCAUGUAAAUCUUUCUAUAUUUCUCUGUAUUCAAGCUUGUCACUUUUUUUAC